CACGUAGGCGGAUUGAUCAGUUGGGGGUGAAAUCCCAGGGCUUAACCCUGGAACUGCCUUCAAUACUGUCUGUCUAGAGGUCGAGAGAGGUGAGUGGAAUUCCGAGUGUAGAGGUGAAAUUCGUAGAUAUUCGGAGGAACACCAGUGGCGAAGGCGGCUCACUGGCUCGAUACUGACGCUGAGGUGCGAAAGCGUGGGGAGCAAACA
rnacentral:rRNA from 1 species